rnacentral:rRNA from 1 species
CAACGCACGGGUCCGGCUUGAAAGCGACCGGCCACACUGGGCUGAGACACGGCCCAGACUCCUACGGGAGGCAGCAGUGGGGAAUAUUGCACAAUGGGCGAAAGCCUGAUGCAGCGACGCCGCGUGAGGGAUGACGGCCUUCGGGUUGUAAACCUCUUUCAGCAGGGAAGAAGCGAAAGUGACGGUACCCUGCAGAAGAAGCGCCGGCUAACUACGUGCCAGCAAGCCGCGGGUAAUACGGUAGGGGCGCAAGCGUUGUCCGGGAAAUUAUUGGGCGUAAAGAGCUCGUAGGCGGGCUUUGUCACGUCGGGAAUGUGAAAGCCCGAGGCUUAACCCUCGGGUCCUGCAUUCGAUACGGGCUAGCUAGAGUUGUGGUAGGGGAGAUCGGAAUUCUGGUGUAGCGGUGAAAUCGCAGAUAUCAGGAGGACACCGGUGCGAAGCGGAUCUCUGGGCCAUUCUGACGCUGAGGAGCGAAAGCGUGGGGAGCGAAACAGGAUUAGAUACCCUGGUAGUCCACGCCGUAAACGAUUGGGAACUAGGUGUUGGCGACAAUUCCACGUCGUCGGUCCGCAGCUAACGCAUUAGUUCCCCGCCUUGGGAGUACGGCGCAAGGCUAAACUCAAGGAAUUGACGGGGGCCCGCACAAGCGGCGGAGCAUGUGGCUUAAUUCGACGCAACGCGAAGAACCUUACCAAGGCUUGACAUAUACCGGAAAGCAUUAGAGAUAGUGCCCCCCUUGUGGUCGGUAUACAGGUGGCUGCAUGGCUGUCGUCAGCUCGUGUCGUGAGAAUGUUGGGUUAAGUCCCGCAACGAGCGCAACCCUUUGGUCCUUGUGUUGCCAGCAAUGCCCUUUCGGGGUGAUGGGGACUCACAGGAGACCGCCGGGGUUCAACUCGGAGGAAGGUGGGGACGACGUCAAGUCAUCAAUGCCCCUUAUGUCUUGGGCUGCACACGUGCUACAAUGGCCGGUACAAUGAGCUGCGAUACCAGUGAGGUGGAAGCGGAAUCUCAAAAAAGCCGGGUCUCAGUUCGGAUUGGGGUCUGCAACUCGACCCCAUGAAAGUCGGAGUCGCCUAGUUAAUCGCAGAUCAGCAAUUGCCUGCGGUGAAUACGUUCCCGGGCCGUUGUACACACCGCCCGUCACGUUCACGAAAGUCGGUAACACCCGAAGCCGGUGGCCCAACCCGUAAGGGAGGGAGCUGUCGAAGGUGGGACUGGCGAAUUGGGACGAAGCUAA